UGGGGAAUAUUGCACAAUGGGCGAAAGCCUGAUGCAGCGACGCCGCGUGAGGGAUGACGGCCUUCGGGUUGUAAACCUCUUUCAGCAGGGAAGAAGCGAAAGUGACGGUACCUGCAGAAGAAGCGCCGGCUAACUACGUGCCAGCAGCCGCGGUAAUACGUAGGGCGCAAGCGUUGUCCGGAAUUAUUGGGCGUAAAGAGCUCGUAGGCGGUUAGUCGCGUCUGCUGUGAAAACUCGAGGCUCAACCUCGGGCUUGCAGUGGGUACGGGCUGACUAGAGUGCGGUAGGGGUGACUGGAAUUCCUGGUGUAGCGGUGGAAUGCGCAGAUAUCAGGAGGAACACCGAUGGCGAAGGCAGGUCACUGGGCCGCAACUGACGCUGAGGAGCGAAAGCAUGGGGAGCGAACAGGAUUAGAUAGCCCUGGUAGUCCAUGCCGUAAACGUUGGGCACUAGGUGUGGGUCCAUUCCACGGAUUCCGUGCCGCAGCAAAGCGCAUUAAGUGCCCCGCCUGGGGAGUACGGCCGCAAGGCUAAACUCAAAUGAAUUGACGGGGUCAUAGCUGUUUCCU
rnacentral:rRNA from 1 species